GUCGAGAAUCUUUCACAAUGGGGGCAACCCUGAUGGAGCGACGCCGCGUGGAGGAUAAGGUCUUCGGAUUGUAAACUCCUGUCAUGCGUGAACAAGGUUGCUUGGUUAAUACCUGGGCAAAUUGAUGGUAACGCAAGAGGAAGAGACGGCUAACUCUGUGCCAGCAGCCGCGGUAAUACAGAGGUCUCAAGCGUUGUUCGGAAUCACUGGGCGUAAAGGGUGCGUAGGUGGCGUGGUAAGUCAGAUGUGAAAGCCCGGGGCUCAACCUCGGAACUGCCUCCGAUACUGCCAUGCUAGAGUACUGGAGAGGUGACUAGAAUUCUCGGUGUAGCAGUGAAAUGCGUAGAUAUCGAGAGGAAUACCAAAGGCGUAGGCAGGUCACUGGACAGUUACUGACACUGAGGCACGAAGGCCAGGGGAGCGAACGGGAUUAGAUACCCUUGUAGUCC
rnacentral:rRNA from 1 species